rnacentral:rRNA from 1 species
AUCGAACGCUGGCGGCAGGCCUAAUACAUGCAAGUCGAGCGGAGCGGCGGACGGGUGAGUAAUGCCUAGGAAUCUGCCUGGUCGUGGGGGAUAACGUCCGGAAACGGGCGCUAAUCUCGCAUACUAUCAGCUGAGCCUAGGUGGGAUUCGCUAGUUGGUGGGGUAAAGGCCUACAAAGGCGACGAUCCGGAACUGGUCUGAGAGGAUGAUCAGUCAAACUGGAACUGGGAACCGCGCCAGACUCCUAGGGGGGGCAGAAGUGGGGAAUAUUGGAAAAGGGGCGAAAGCCUGAUGCAGACAGGCCGCGGGUGGGAAAAAGGUUUUCGGAUGGUAAAGCACUUUAAGUGGGGAGGCGUUACCAACAGAAAAAGCACCGGCUAACUUCGUGCCAGCAGCCGCGGUAAUAC